GACGAACGCUGGCGGCGUGCCUAAUACAUGCAAGUCGAGCGAAGCGGCGGAUGGGUGAGUAACGCGUGGGUAACCUGCCCUUAAGUCUGGGAUACCAUUUGGAAACAGAUGCUAAUACCGGAUAUUAAAGGCUGGACCUGGGUUGCAUCAGCUAGUGGGUAAGGUAACGGCUUACCAAGGCGAUGAUGCAUAGCAGGGUUGAGAGACUGAGCGGCCACAUGGGGACUGAGACACGGACCAAACUCCUACGGGAGGCAGCAGUAGGGAAUCUUGCACAAUGGACGCAAGUCUGAUGGAGCAACGCCGCGUGAGUGAAGAAGGUUUUCGGAUCGUAAAGCUCUGUUGUUGGUGAGGCGGUAAUGAACCAGGAAGUCACGGCUAACUACGUGCCAGCCGCCGCGGUAAUAC
rnacentral:rRNA from 1 species